AUUGAACGCUGGCGGCAUGCCUUACACAUGCAAGUCGAACGGUAACGCGGGGCAACCUGGCGACGAGUGGCGAACGGGUGAGUAAAGCAUCGGAACGUGCCCAGUAGUGGGGGAUAGCCUGGCGAAAGCCGGAUUAAUACCGCAUACGACCUAUGGGUGAAAGGGGGGGAUCGCAAGACCUCUCGCUAUUGGAGCGGCCGAUGUCAGAUUAGGUAGUUGGUGGGGUAAAAGCCUACCAAGCCGACGAUCUGUAGCUGGUCUGAGAGGACGACCAGCCACACUGGGACUGAGACACGGCCCAGACUCCUACGGGAGGCAGCAGUGGGGAAUUUUGGACAAUGGGCGAAAGCCUGAUCCAGCCAUGCCGCGUGCGGGAAGAAGGCCUUCGGGUUGUAAACCGCUUUUGUCAGGGAAGAAACGCUCUGAGCUAAUACCUCGGGGUAAUGACGGUACCUGAAGAAUAAGCACCGGCUAACUACGUGCCAGCAGCCGCCGUAA
rnacentral:rRNA from 1 species